rnacentral:rRNA from 1 species
CACGUAGUUAGCCGGUGCUUAUUCUUCGGGUACCGUCAUCCCGCCAGGAUGUUGGCCCGGCGUAUUUCUUCCCCGACAAAAGCGGUUUACAACCCGAAGGCCUUCUUCCCGCACGCGGCAUGGCUGGAUCAGGCUUGCGCCCAUUGUCCAAAAUUCCCCACUGCUGCCUCCCGUAGGAGUCUGGGCCGUGUCUCAGUCCCAGUGUGGCUGGUCGUCCUCUCAGACCAGCUACAGAUCGUCGGCUUGGUAGGCCUUUACCCCACCAACUACCUAAUCUGACAUCGGCCGCUCCAAUCGCGCGAGGCCUUUCGGUCCCCCGCUUUCACCCUCAGGUCGUAUGCGGUAUUAAUCCGGCUUUCGCCGGGCUACUCCCCCAGACUGGGCCACGUUCCGAUCGCUCUACUCACCCGUUCGCCACUCGCCACCAGGAUUGCUCCCGUGCUGCCGUUCGACUUGCAGUGUGUAAGGCAUCGCCGCCAGCGUUCAAUCUGACGCCAGGACUACGAAACUCU